rnacentral:rRNA from 1 species
AUGCCACUGGCCUUUGGUUUUGUCCCGUCUCUUGGAGAAUUAGAACUUGCAUAUGGUGCAAUAUGUUCGGAAGAUCAAUUUAAAUUAAGUGAGCUUAUACAUGGAACCACAUGCAUACAUACUCUCACAUUGGAUUUUGAAGGAGAAAAUCUUUGGAUGCAACCUGAAAUGAAGCAACUCUGCACAGCUUUCAACAAGCUAAGGAAGUUGUUUGUGCGUGGUAUUUUUGUUGAAUUUGACAUUUUAUGGACGAUGGCCUUUCUUGCAGCGGCACCAUCUAUCGAGAUGUUACAUAUUGAGGUAUGGGAACAUGUAUGCGAUAUGGAUGAAGUUAGUGAGGAUUUCAGACGAUGA